rnacentral:rRNA from 1 species
GGCUCAGAUUGAACGCUGGCGGCAUGCCUUACACAUGCAAGCCGAACGGCAGCGGACCUUCGGGUGCCGGCGAGUGGCGAACGGGUGAGUAAUAUAUCGGAACGUACCUUUCAGUGGGGGAUAACGUAGCGAAAGUUACGCUAAUACCGCAUAUUCUGUGAGCAGGAAAGCAGGGGAUCGCAAGACCUUGCGCUGAUUGAGCGGCCGAUAUCAGAUUAGCUAGUUGGUGAGGUAAAGGCUCACCAAGGCGACGAUCUGUAGCGGGUCUGAGAGGAUGAUCCGCCACACUGGAACUGAGACACGGUCCAGACUCCUACGGGAGGCAGCAGUGGGGAAUUUUGGACAAUGGGCGCAAGCCUGAUCCAGCCAUGCCGCGUGAGUGAAGAAGGCCUUCGGGUUGUAAAGCUCUUUCGGCCGGGAAGAAAUCGCACGGGUUAAUACCCUGUGUGGAUGACGGUACCGGAAUAAGAAGCACCGGCUAACUACGUG